UGGUGAUUAGUUCAGUCGGUAGAACAGUGGACUGUUAAUCCAUAUGUCGCAGGUUCGAUUCCUGCAUCACCAG
rnacentral:tRNA from 1 species